rnacentral:rRNA from 1 species
UACGUAGGGUGCAAGCGUUGUCCGGAAUUAUUGGGCGUAAAGAGCUCGUAGGCGGUUUGUCGCGUCUGCUGUGAAAACCCGAGGCUCAACCUCGGGCCUGCAGUGGGUACGGGCAGACUAGAGUGCGGGUAGGGGAGAUUGGAAUUCCUGGUGUAGCGGUGGAAUGCGCAGGAUAUCAGGAAGAACACCCGUGGCGAAGGCGGCUCUCUGGAGCCACAACUGACGCUGAGGCGCGAAAGCUAGGGGAGGCAAACAGGA